GGCGGAUCACAUCCACCUGACGCACCAGCUCGCCCAUCUUCUUCCUGCCGUUCCCUCGAAAAAAAGAACUUCCUGCCGGCCGCCGCCUCGCGAUCCCAGCUCCAUUCCCACGAACUUUUCGAACUUCCCCUCUCGGUCCAAGCUGAACUCUACCGGCUGCCGCUCCCGACCUCUCACAGGAUACCCAAUUUGAAGCCGCUGGUGCCUGGUGGCACUGCGGGGGCGUAACUCUAUAGCCGAGGCAGCGGCCGCCCAGCCGCCCAGCCGCUCCGUGUACGCGGAGCUUCUACAAUCUGCUGGAAACCCUACAGGGAGAGCAGCUGCGGUGGCUAUGGCGCGGCUCAGUCACCUGUAGGUCCCUACCCCGAGACGUGCGUGAAACCCUAGACUCUUCACUCACUCUCGGGUGGUGGUAGAUGGCGGGGGAGUUGGGUCAGCAGACAGUGGAGCUGGGGACUGUGGCGCGGCAGGCGGCGGAGGAGUCCUACCUGGCGCUGCGUGAGCUCGUGGAGAAGUCGCGGGCGGGCGCCGAGGGGGAGGCAGCGCAGCAGAGGUCGGAUACUGAGAAGAAGAUCGACCUGCUCAAAUUCAUCGACCGCACCCGCCAGCGCAUGCUCCGGCUCCAUGUCCUCGCCAAGUGGUGCCAGCAGGUGCCCUUGCUUCAUUACUGCCAGCAACUUGCGUCAACUCUCUCCAGCCAUGAAACUUGCUUCAUCCAAACAGGCGAUUCACUGUUCUUUAUGCAUGAAGGAUUGCAGCAAGCUCGUGCUCCCAUUUUUGAUGUUUCAUCUGCGAUAGAAGUCAUACAUACAGGGAGCUAUAGGAGAUUGCCUAAAUCUGUAGAGGAAAUAGGUACUCAGAAUACACUUUUUCAAGAUGAGCGGAAGCCUACAUUGAAGAAAUUAAGCACCCUUGUGCGGGCAAAAUUACUUGAAACCCUAGUUCCUAAAGAAAUGUCUGAGGUUUCGGUGACUGAUGGAAUAGCCAAUGUACAGGUAGAUGGCGAAUUCAAAGUACUCCUUACGUUAGGUUACCGUGGGCACUUCUCGCUGUGGAGGAUAUUGCAUAUUGAGUUACUUGUUGGUGAGAACACCGGGCCUAUUAAGCUUGAAGAGACAAGAAGGUAUGUUCUGGGUGAUGACAUCGAACGGAGAAUGGCUGUGGCUGACAAUCCCCUCACAAUUUUGUAUACAAUUCUCCAUGAGCUAUGCAUCUCUUUUGUUAUGGAUACCGUAAUUAGACAGACUAAUGUUCUACGACAAGGUAGAUGGAAAGAGGCAAUAAAAUCUGAACUUGUCUCGGAUAGUCAUAGAAGUGCAGGACAAGGUGGGAAUAAUGCUCCAACGCAGCUUGGUCAAGAUGGAGAGCUCGAUUCAAGUGGGUUCAGGAUACCUGGUUUGAAAAUAAAUUAUUGGCUGGAUGAAAGAAACAGUGGGUCAGCAGAAUCUGAUUCAUCUCCAUUUAUUAAAGUUGAGGCACUGCAAGAUAUGCAGAUAAAGUGUCAGCACAGUUCAUUUGUAUUGGAUCCACUUACAGAUAAAGAAGCUGAUCUUUCUCUUGAUCUGAGCUGCAUUGAUGUUGAGGCAAUCAUUUUGAAAGCAAUUGCUUGCAAUAGACACACACGUCUUCUGGAAAUUCAGAGGGAGUUGAAAAAAAAUACUCGGAUUUCUCGAUCCCCAACUGAUGUUGUCCUGAAACGGAAAGAAGUUCAUAUGGACGUCCUGCAAAAGAGAGUGGAUAGAAGGGGCUUCGAGAAUUGUUGUACAAAUGAAGUGCUUCAGGUUAGGGCAUAUGGAAAAUCGUAUAUUCACCUGGGAAUAAAUAUCAGGAGUGGUGGCUUUCUCCUGCAAUCACCAAAAAAUAUAUUACCACCUUCUGCGGUAUUAGACUCUGAAGAAGCCCUUAAUAAACGGAGCAUAACACCCACUGAGGUCUUCGUGAGCUUAAAGACCAGAAGCAUCCUUCAGUUGUUUGCUGCGACAGGAAGGUUUUUGGGCCUGAAGGUUUACUCCGAGUGUCAGAUUACUCUGAAGAUACCAAAAUCCAUACUGUAUGGUUCAGAUUUUAUGGUUAUGGGAUUUCCUUGGCGUACAAAUGCCUAUUAUCUUCUGAUGCAACUUGAUGACAACCUCAUGCCGGUUUUUUAUUUGCUUGAGGUGCAUAUUGACGGAGAAGACAGGUCUAACAUUGAUACAACCACUGACGCUAAAGAAGUUGUAAGGUUUAACAGAAUUGACAUUGGCCAGAUGCAACUAGGUGAAGAUGAAUGCAUUGCAAAUCUUCUCGAUGUAGAGAAAUUGCAGGUGCUACAAAGCAUGGAAGAUGGGUCUCCCGGGCAUAGUGAAAUUGAUGAGUCUCUUCCUCUAAAGCCUUCAUUUUCUUCUGUUGUUAACGCAGUAUUAGGAUAUGAGCGAGAUUCUCCAAGUAAGGAAAAUUGGCUGUCUUAUAGUUCGCCCUCAACUCAUUUGAGUUCUCAAAAAGUUGGCCGUCAGGGGGUUAGCAGUAGAGCUGGCCCACCUGAACUGGAUGACGAGUUACUACAUUCUAACAUUGACACAGCAAAAGUCGCUUCUGGUGUCACUUUGGACAGUUAUCUGCUGAGUAAUUCGAAGUCUGCAAAUAGUACAGAGACCUCCGUUUCGGUCCCUGCAGGUUUGGAGAAUAUCUCCGCUUUACGCUCUGAAGUUCCAUCUGGAAAGAGAUAUCUUUCAGAGUUCUUGUUGAACAUCCCAUCAUUACAGCGAUCAAUAAUCAGUGGUGGGCCAAGAAAGAGAAGAAAACUGCCAGAAGAUGCAAGCAGCGUGCAAUCUCGAACAACCCUCACCUAUGGAACUAUACUGAGAGAAGGAAAUUGUUGUAUUACAGAAAAUAUAUAUGCUUCUGUGCUUCUUCAAGUCAUAAAGCAUUGUUCGCUUCGUAUCAAAUAUGCUCAACUGACUACCCAGAUGAAUUCUCUUAACAUUCCAUAUGUAGAAGAAGUUGGUCUGGGGACACCCUCCUCUAAUCUUUGGUUACGGCUACCUUUUGCUCAAGAUGGUUCUUGGAAACACACAUGCUUACGUCUCGGUGAAGCUGGAAGCAUGUCAUGGGGUGUUAGGAUCAACGAUCCAUAUUAUGGUGCACUGUGGGAACUUCAUGGAGGCAGCAAUACUACAGAAUGGGGUUCUCAUGUUCGCAUUGCAAACACUUCUGAGAUGGAUUCACACAUCUCUUUUGACUAUGAUGGGGUCACCUUGACUUACAACUCUGUUGAGGCUGAUAGUAUACAGCGGCUUGUCUCAGAAUUACGACGACUUUCAAAUGCUCGUGUAUUUGCUUGUGGAAUGCGGAGGUUGGUUCGUAUUAAAGUAGAUGAGAAAUUAGUUGAGAAUCAGUUAGCUACAAAGGCAAAGUUACAUGCAAGAAAAGGUUUCAGGAACAGGUUAUCGGACCAGAUGGCUAAAAAUUUCCGGAUUAACGCUGUUGGUUUGAUGAACUUGUGGUUCAGUUAUGGUGCCAAUGCCAUGCCCAUGGUUCACUUUGUUGUCGAGUGGGAUGCCAGUAAGGCUGGUUGCACAAUGCGUAUUUCACCAGAUCAUCUUUGGCCACACACAAAGUUUUUGGAGGAUUUUGUGAAUUGCAAUGAGGUAGCAUCAUUUUUGGAUUGUAUCAGACUGACAGCAGGUCCUUUACUUUCCCUUGGUGGUGCAAUUCGUCCUGCAAAGAUGCCUGCUGUCCCUGCUGUUUGCGGUUCUGCACAAAAGCAAAACAAUGUUCUUUUGGCAAAUGGUUCAUCAUCAACUACUGUGCAUAUAAACAGUCAUGAUGCUCAGACUUCCUCUAUGCUCUCUGCUGUAGGCUGGACUGGUCAUGGACUAGUUCCUAGUUCUUUGAUGCCUUUUGAUGUUUCUGUUGUGCUCCGUGGGCCAUACUGGAUACGCAUUAUAUAUCGCAAUAAGUUCUCUGUUGACAUGCGCUGCUUUGCUGGGGAUCAGGUCUGGCUGCAGCCAGCAACCCCUCCAAAAGGUGGGCCUUCAAUUGGUGGAUCUUUACCUUGUCCACAAUUUCGACCAUUCAUAAUGGAACAUGUUGCUCAGGGUCUAAAUACUCUUGAGCCGAGCUUUCUGAAUGCUAGACAUACUAGUGCCAAUACUUCAUCUGGAAGUCAACAGAUAGCAGCUAGUGUGAGUAGAGCAGGCAAUGCCACGCUACCUUCAGGAGACGGAGCUCCUGCACACCUUUCUCCUGACACUAACCUUCCUGUGCAUAUGAAAGGAGAAUUGAACACAGCUUUUAUCGGGCUUGGAGAUGAUGGUGGCUAUGGUGGUGGCUGGGUCCCUCAUGCUGCUCUUAAGAAGGUGUUGCGAGGCAUUCUCAAGUACCUUGGAGUUCUAUGGUUGUUUGCGCAAUUGCGUGAUAUUCUGAAAGAUAUAUUGGGGUCAGUUUUGAAAGAUAAUGAAGGUGCACUUCUGAAUUUGGAUCAAGAACAGCCAGCGUUGCGCUUCUUUGUGGGUGGUUAUGUCUUUGCAGUUAGUGUUCAGCGAGUUCAACUGCACCUUCAAGUUCUUAAUGUGAAGCGGUUUCACCACCAGCAACAGCAACAGCAAGCUCCUCAGAGCAGUGCUCAGGGAGAGCUAACACCAUCUGAGAUACAUGAGAUAUGCGAUUACUUUAGCAGAUGUGUUGUCUGUGAACCUUAUGAUGCUUCUAGGAUUGCUUCUUUUAUCAUGUUGCUUACUCUGCCCAUUUCAGUUAUACAAGAAUUUGUAAAACUAAUUACAUGGAAUAAAAGCUUGUCCGAGGCUCAUGGGGACAUCGCUGCUGCAGAGCGGGCACGGGCUGAACUUUGUUUGGAAAAGCAUCCAAGAUCAGUUUCAGAUGAUUAUACUGAACCUUCUUUAUUAUCCAAGAGUAAUAUUCAGCAUGACAGAGCCAACAAUUCAGUAGAUUUUACCCUAACUUUUGUGCUUGACCAUAAUCUUACACCACAUGUGAGGACAUCUGGUGGAGCUGCUUGGUUACCAUUUUGUGUUUCUCUGAGAUUAAGGUACACCUUUGGGGAUACUAGUCAUAUCGCAUACCUUGCAAUGGAUGGCAGCCAUGGUGGUAGAUCUUGCUGGUUGCAACACGAGGAUUGGGAGAGGUGUAAGCAGAGUGUUGUUAAAGCAGUGAAGAUGGUGAAUGGAUCGCCAGCAGGUGGAGAGACAAGCCGAGGAAGGCUGCAAAUGGUUGCUGAAAUGGUCCAAAAGCAACUGCAACUGUGCCUAGUGCAUUUAAGAGAUGGCUCGCUUUCUGCUGGCUCAACUCGACCAUGAAAUGCAUAUUUUGAAUUCUUGUAGCCAGACUAUGAGUUGUGUUUCUGGUAGUUGCUGACUUGCUCACUACUGAAUAAGUCACUAGAUGUUUGAUAAUAUGGUGGCUGACAUACUGGUGUUUUCAGCUGAGGGCUCAUGAUGUUCCAGUUAUUGGUUACUGGUACUCUAUGGUGACUCAUUGUUUGUUUUGUACAGCUCACCUUUGUAGCUAGUGUGCUGCUGAUUAGACCUUAGAACCCCUGAAAAGCAUGUUUGUGGAAGAUGUACAUCUCAGCUCUCAGGACAACAAGCAGCAGCCUGUGUUGCCCACUGUCCCUCUCUGCAGUAGCAAUGUCCCCAUGAACCUUAGAACCCAGACACAGAGGACUUGCCUAGUCUUUGCUUUGGCAGGAAUUGGAUUUAGAUUUGAGAUGCAGGGGAGGCGUGACGCGGACUGCGAUGGAGCUUGCAAAGUGUUAGGGGGUAGGGUCGAACACUCGGUGUAUGCCAGAAUCUGACACAGGCUAUGGCAGAGCUGAAAAGGGAACACAGUGGAAAGUUUUGGUUUCACUUCAUGGUCUCCGACUCUGGUCUUCCCCUAAUGUUUCCUCUCUUCCAUGAAAUCGACCCCGGUGAACUGUUGAAAACCUUGUAGAUUUGAAGGUGUCUGCUUGGUUUGAUACCCACAAGGAAGGCACAACGGCUAUGUUUGGUUUGAUCACCGAUAUGCAUGUGAUGGUAGACUUGUUUCGAAGAUGCAAACUUAUGUUGCAUGUAUUGUUGACAAUUCAGAAAGAGUGGAGAUAAAUUCCCAUUUUUUUCUUGGAUAUAUUGUUUCCUAAGGUGCAGGCUGUUCUGCAAGCUUGGUUUGGCUGUGAGUGCUUAGAUUCAGACUACCCAUAUGGGAGUUACUUAGACUAAUAACAUGCAUAUGUUACUAGUCUAUGUUACUAUGAGAGUAACAUAUUUGUGGUGUCAUGCAACCAUUUAUUUAUUAGCUUAUAGACAUAUUUUGUCUUCAUAUGUGUGAUUUUACCCAUAGUGUUAUUAACUCGGUGUUGAGGUUUUUCUUUUCUUCGAAAAGGACUCAAAUUUAUUACU
rnacentral:rRNA from 1 species